CCUAGAGCUCCUCUGUGCUCCGCCUGCUCAUCGGCCCCUCUUCCAGCCCCUGACGACCACUGAUGUCUUUCCUGCCUCCGUAGUUGUGCCGUUUCCAGAGUGCUGCGCAGAGUGAUGCUCCGUCACCUGCGGCUCCACUCACCUGCUGAAGGGCCCGGGGGGCUCCGCAUCCUGCUGAUCAUGCAUCAGGCCCUGCGAACACCCUUGUGCAGCUCAGCUCUACCUGGCGGUUCCCAUGGCUGUAAACGUGCCGGCACCUCAAAAUCACAAGUGAAAGCUGGCUGUGACAGCGCAUGCCUGUAAUCCCAGCACUCAGGAGGCUAAGGCAGGAAGGUUGCUGUGAGUUCAAGGCCAGUCUGAACUGGAUAGUGAGACCCUAUCUCUGAAUCAACCAACCAACCAACCAACACAAGUGAGACCUCCCUGCACCCCGCUUCCCCUCUGGCCGCUACGCCAUCUCUGUUCCCUGAGCAGCCAAACUGUAAGUAGUAUCGGCAUCCUUGCCACCCCAGCGUCUGUGCCCUCCUUCCAGCUGUGGUGAGCUACCUGUGCCCUGCCCUCCCCUCCCAGUGGCCCCUCAGUCACCUUCCUCCUCCCAUGCCCUUGGCUUCUACCCACCUGCCAGCCUUUGUUUCAGGUCCCUCCCCGAACCACGUAUGGAGCCUUCCAGCCCCUUCCCUUCUUCCAGCAUGCUUGCUCCCGUGUUAUCCGCACCCGCUGUCCAAGGAGGGCUCAGCCUCCCCUCCUCUGCCCUGGACUCCAGACACAGAGAUCUUUCCACCUACCUGACAUCCCUGGGCAGCUGAGUGACAGGUCUCCAAUGUCAGUGUCCGGCCCCGCACAGGAUCCCUGCCCUCGGACCACCUGGUCUCCCACCUCCUCAGCUGACCUCACGGCACCCCCUUGGCCACCUCUGGCUCUGGGCUGGGGAUGUCCUGGACCCCUCUUUCCUGCAGCCAUUUCCAUCCAUGUGGGGCUCCUGCCAGCUCUGCCUUCAUGAGACCACAGUCUGGCCUUGUUAUAGUUUGGAUCAAAAAUGUCC